rnacentral:rRNA from 1 species
GUGUAGGCGUUGUCCCCUCCCCUCUUGGCCUCCUCCUCCUCCUCCUCUCUCCCUUUUAUUUAUUUUUCCCUGUUCGGUGUUCUCUCUUCGCUUCCGGUCCCUUCCCUUCGCUCGCUCCCUCCCCCUCCUCCUUAUUAGGGCGCGCGCCAGCGGACGGACAACCCACGCCCUAGAGUGGCCUCCCAAGGCGGCGCCUCGGGGCAUGCCACUAGGCCCCGGCCAACCACCCCCGCUAGCCUCCGGCGGCACCUAGAGACGGAGACUCUAGACACAAGACCCUGUUUGGUACUCGUCGCGUUGGUGGCCAACAAUUGAGACAUUUAAUGUUCGUUGGCUUUGCUCCGCGUUCUUCUUACCACAAGGUCUUCUCCUGCAGCAGCCUCUACCUCAGCACGCCGCCUUCGGUGCAGCGCCUCUACGGCGCGCAGGGCUUUAGGCGCUCCCCCUUCUCUAGCCAAUCCUUCUUCCUCUCGGUCCCGGUCCGCUACACGCGCAAACUGGAAGAGCGCUGCCACCGGCCGUUCGACGAGCUACUCCCGCUCCCGAGCGACCCCUUGUACUCGCGGCCGAGGGGCCAGGAGCGACGAAGACGGUUCCUACAGACGCACUUCGUUCUCGUCACGCUGCUCCUCCCCUUCGUGGAGUUCUUAAUACACUACCUGGUCCUAUCGACGUUACUCUCGCGCAACUAGAGGGUGUAACGCAGAGUCUCCGACCGCCUAGUGGUAAGAGCCUUCCCUCUCCUAGACUUACUCCAAGGUUUCCGUUUCAGACUCCGACACCUGUUCCUUGGGAGGUACUAUUCAACAUGGUUCCGACUGAACCCAUCAUUAAAACCCCGCUAGCGCCUGUCCACCAGCAGACUUAGGCACCUCAGUCCCCGGAAGUGGCCCCUACGUCGCCGUUUACAGUACCGUAACCGGCGUCGUCGGAAGUUGUUCUUGCGGGGACUGUACAUGUUAGAAGAGCUGGGGUACCUACAGCUACACUUCGGCGGAGGAAACCAGUCGAGACUGUCGUGGCCGCUCUACGGUAAUAUACCACCGUUUUAAGUGUUCAGGCAGAGGAAAGGCUCCCCAGGCUUUCCUCCUCGUCUCAUAAGACAUCUAUCUCUCUUACUACUACUACUACUAUUUAGAAGGCCCACGUGGGUAAGCUCGUGGCGGUGAUUGUCCCCGAAGUCCGGGUUAACAUGUCGACUGGUUUCAUCCCACUUCUUCAAGGAGCGGACAUUCAUGUCCUUUCAACGAGGACGGUCUUACGUGUUUCCUCUAGAAAGGAUAUCACUACGACUGGCCUUCGGAAGAAAGGCUUUGUUCUUUUACAUAAUAUGCGCCGUUUCCUGGGUUUCCUCAUGUAAAUUCGCUUCCUUCUACAACCUAGCAGUAAGUUGAGAUCAUAGACUUCUUAAACGUUUUAGUUUACGUUUCUCUUGGUGUUUCCAAUUACGUUCUCUUGGUGUACGACGAAGGAACCUUCGUUUGUUCCCGUCGUUGAGUUACGGUAAGGUACCUAGAACAUUUAGUUUGCUAACGGUACACUUUGAAUUCUAGUUUAGAAAGUUCCACGGACUUGAAGAUUAACUCUAGGGUCUUUGACGAAGACAACCAAGUGACUUCUUUUGACAAGACCUCCGUCAUUUACGGUACGAACCUCCACCAGACGCACACCCACAAGAAGUGGUACCUUUCUUUUAGUCCCUACUAUCGUUUUGGAAUUACGUUCGACCCUAACCAGUACUACUAUACGACCUGUUGUAUCCGAAAAGUGAACUUGGGUUGACAUGUUCCGUAAGUAGAGUUGAACGUCGAGGACUUCUAUAGCUUAAGGAUCUUUGACAACUUUGGUGACUUGGGGAUCGUUCCUAACGUGGACGACUGAGCAGAAGCUUCGUGCCGCUUGAGCUACGGAGUGUCCUCGAACGUAACUGUGGGAACUGUCGAUUAAUGGUCCCCUUACUAGUGCUAAGUCACGUGAGAGGACCCCCGUAGAGGAGUGGACUCUUUCGAAGCCGUUUGAGCGCUCGUUAACAAGGUCAAUGUGGACAUCUAAGGUCGCGUCCCCGCUAUCAAGGUCGUUUGUUCCGCUUCUCUAGUCGCCUUGUCCCCGUCGCAGCUUAGUCUGCAGGGAAGAGACAACGACUUCACCUUCGUGAACACGAACGUCAGCUUUUCGAACCUUGACCUUCUACCGCUCUACAAUUUGAAGCACGAAAACUAUUACGGUUCGUAGCCUGGAUACAACUAGAGUUCCUGUUUACCUUCUGCGACCACGUGUGCCGCUCGUAGAGCGGGGUCGUCGCCGCGCCACUCGGCCACGGCGUCCUAGACGAGCUGGCCCAGGAACGCCGGGUCAGGAUAACCAGGGUCGUCGUCCGGUUCGAGGUCGGAUUCUGCGGGGGUGACCGACUCCGAGCGGACGAGUGGAUUAUUGAGGGUAGAGUCGGUUACCAGAGAAUUCUUUGGUAAGGUCGAAAACAUAUUUCAGUCAUUCAGUCGGUCAGUCGGGUAAGUUUCCUCCAAUUCCUUCUAUCAUCUUUUUAUAUAUGAUGUAUUUUUUUCCAUGUUCUUCAUAACUGGCUGGCUUUUAACAACAUUAUAGAUGAGUGGUUGAUAAGAAAAUUCGGUCCCAAGAGAGAGGAACACUUAAAUUGGUUUCCUUUCCCAUAAAGAAACCGUUUAACAUGUACUACUACUACCUUCUUCUUCUACUAAGUAAGGUACUUGACUCUAGACGUCACUGGUGAUGAUUGAGUGUUAAGAGACGUUAACACGAUUUUUUCUUCUCGAAGUCUAAGAAAACAAGUCAAGUUAAGUAAGAAACAAUUCUCCUACUCUUUCCACCUGCCUAUUCCUCCCUCCUAGACACGAGGGGAAAAAGGAUAAAAAGAAGAAGACAAUGAUGAAUCAACAUGAUAAAAGGGAAGUGGUUAGAACAUCGAUAAAACUAGGGGAGUUGUAACAUGAACUAGUUGAUUGUUAUAAUUUCCUUAAAAAAAUACGUAUGUGUAACGGGGGGAAUUUAAUAC